UGCGUAGGUGGUUGACUAAGUUUGGUGUGAAAUCUCCCGGCUUAACUGGGAGGGUGCGCCGAAAACUGGUUGGCUAGAGUGUGGGAGAGGGAAGCGGAAUUCCAGGUGUAGCGGUGAAAUGCGUAGAUAUCUGGAGGAACGCCUGCGGUGUAGACGGCUUCCUGGACCAUGACUGACACCGAGGCACGAAAGCGUGGGUAAGCAAACAG
rnacentral:rRNA from 1 species